AUGACGGAAAUGCCCCUCAUUUUUCUGCUGUUUUCGUUUUUUUUCCUGCAGCACAGUUAAAUGACGAAACUGCCCUUGACUAAACAGUUUCUUUUGUUCCCGUUUUUGCCCCUCCCCCUUCGUUGAGAUGGUUUCGUCCGCUGAGAGAAACCAUUUUCUCCCGUUCGUUUCCAACCAGCUGGUUGGGGGGCAGCCAUGGAAGAGUUGUGUUCGUUGCUGGAGAUGCGUUGAAGGCCGUCGAUUUUUGUUUGGGAGGUGAGCUGCAAAUCCAGCCGUGCUUUCAGUCUUCGUGUCACAGAUUUGGGAUCGGGAGAUUUCGUCUUUUCUACAACCUUCGACUCAGGCUUCCAUCUUUCUUGCUUCGACUCAGGCUUCCAUCGUUCUUGCUUCGACUCAGGCUUCCAUCUUUGUUGCAUCCUUUGUUUUCAGGAUCAAGACUUCCAUGAAAGAGAAGAAAAAUCAUGAAGCAAGUGCAAAACAAAGCUUGCCCAAUUAAAUAACAUUCUGUACAAAACUAUCCAACUUUUGCUAUUUUGAUGCCUACUUCCUACUAUAAACAUCUCAAUGUAUAUACAAACAAGUAUAGUAUUUUACCAUAACAAGUAGCCUGUAAAAUAUGUUAUUAUAUACUUUUUUGCAACUUACACUCCUGUAGUUAAACAUAAUGUUAUAAAUUAAAUCUCAUUGUAUAUAUAAACAAUCUAAUUUUGUC